rnacentral:ncRNA from 2 species
AUUCGAAGUAGAGGCGCGUUUAUUAAGAGUAUUUUUCAGGAACUUGAACAGAAGUGAUGACUGGAAUUGAAAGGGAUAAUCGCCGAAAUUGCUAAUUGCGUUUCCAAUUAGUGGUUGGGUCUUAACUUAAUAAGUUAAGGACUGUCGUGGUGUUUGCUACGGAGUGCUAUCAAGAUA